rnacentral:lncRNA from 1 species
CCUGAGUGCGGAGGACCAGGCACUUUACAGGUGGUGUCAAAUUUAAUCAUCACAACACUCUAAAAGGAGUGGGUCCUUAUCUUCCUUAAGUACCUCUGAGGAGCACGCAAGGAUCCGGAGCUUGGCUAGCGUUCCACACCUUUUACAAGGCCCUGUGCGUUGUCUCCUGGCCUCACCAAACCCUAAAGGACACAGGACUCUCCUGGGAUCUUAGGGAAACCAAGUUCUGAACCACUAGGUCCAGGAGAAGGCCCGAGAUGCCGCAUCUCUAACAGUCUUCUAGGAGAUGCUACAGAUCCGAGGACUUUAACUGCAAGGCUAAGACCAGAGGUCUCCCACCUUGGCCGCACCCUGGAAUCAACUGGGAGCUUUCGAAAUGCUGACACCUGGGCCUCAUCCAAGAGAUUCCGAUCUGAUAGAGGACAGCUCUGCACUGGAUUGCGGAAACUCCUGGGAGCAAAGCCAGGAUGGAGGGUUGGCCAGUGGGAUCCCUCAAGUCACAAGGGGCAAGAAAAUGUCA